GGUGCGCCCGCCUCACGGCCGCCGGGGGGCUUCUGCCCCCGGGUCCGCGCGCACCGGAGACACCAUUGAACUCUGUCUGAAGAUUGCAGUCUGAGCAUAAACUAAAUAAGUUAAAACUUUCAACAACGGAUCUCUUGGUUCCGGCAUCGAUGAAGAACGCAGCGAAAUGCGAUAACUAAUGUGAAUUGCAGAAUUCAGUGAAUCAUCGAGUCUUUGAACGCACAUUGCGCCCCCUGGUAUUCCGGGGGGCAUGCCUGUCCGAGCGUCAUUGCUGCCCUCAAGCACGGCUUGUGUGUUGGGCUCCGUCCCCCCGGGGACGGGUCCGAAAGGCAGCGGCGGCACCGAGUCCGGUCCUCGAGCGUAUGGGGCUUUGUCACCCGCUCUGUAGGCCCGGCCGGCGCCAGCCGACAACCAAUCAUCCUUUUUCAGGUUGACCUCGGAUCAGGUAGGGAUACCCGCUGAACUUAAGCAUAUCA
rnacentral:rRNA from 1 species